CGCUGUGCUAGGAGGAAGUGGAGCAGCAGCAGAGAGAGUCCAGCAUCUAUGUGUUCGGCUGACAACCAGCUUCAACUACCAGACAUGUAUUGCCAGGCAAAAUGUUCUACCCCUCUGAGCCUGCUUCCUGCCCACAGAGCAGGGAUAACACUGUAAACCAAACAGAUAAAGAAAGCAAGUCUCAAAGAGUGGAAUAACUUGCCUGGGAUCAAGCAGCCAGCCAGAGCUGGAGCCAGGAUUAGAACCCAGGUCUGUCUGAAUGUAACACUGUGGCCUUUCCCAGUAC